AGCUCCAGUAGCGUAUAUUAAAGUUGUUGCAGUUAAAAAGCUCGUAGUUGGAUUUCUGACGAACCGUUGCGGCCCGUGCUCGUUUCGGGCGUGUGUGCCGUGUCGUGUUUGUCAUCCUUCCAGAAAGCUGCGUCUACCAUUUACUUGGCCGGACGUACGUGAUCUGGAUCGAUUACUUUGAAAAAAUUAGAGUGUUUAAAGCAGGCUUAUGCUGUGAAUACAUUAGCAUGGAAUAAUAAUUUAGGACUUCGGUUCUAUUUUGUUGGUUUCUAGGACUGAAGUAAUGAUUGAUAGGGACAGUUGGGGGUGCUAGUAUUCCGCGGCCAGAGGUGAAAUUCUUGGAUUCGCGGAAGACUAACUACUGCGAAAGCAUUCACCAAGGAUGUCUUCU
rnacentral:rRNA from 1 species